CCUACGGGCGGCUGCAGUGGGGAAUAUUGGACAAUGGGGGCAACCCUGAUCCAGCCAUGCCGCGUGUGUGAAGAAGGCCCUCGGGUUGUAAAGCACUUUCAGUGAGGAAGAACGCCUGGUGGUUAAUACCCAUCAGGAAAGACAUCACUCACAGAAGAAGCACCGGCUAACUCCGUGCCAGCAGCCGCGGUAAUACGGAGGGUGCGAGCGUUAAUCGGAAUUACUGGGCGUAAAGCGCGCGUAGGUGGCUUGAUAAGCCAGUUGUGAAAGCCCCGGGCUCAACCUGGGAACGGCAUCCGGAACUGUCAAGCUAGAGUGCAGGAGAGGAAGGUAGAAUUCCCGGUGUAGCGGUGAAAUGCGUAGAGAUCGGGAGGAAUACCAGUGGCGAAGGCGGCCUUCUGGACUGACACUGACACUGAGGUGCGAAAGCGUGGGUAGCAAACAGGAUUAGAUACCCGAGUAGUC
rnacentral:rRNA from 1 species